rnacentral:lncRNA from 7 species
CCGGUGGGGUGGGGGAGCGGCUUGGGCACGGACCGCGGUGGCCGCCUGGCGGAUCUUGCGCUUGGCGGCGCGGACCGGCGUGGUCGGAUCUGGCUCUGCGCGGCACGCCCCAGCGCGGUCCUGGCCAGGACGCGGCCCCGCGCUAGACAGGCGGCUGGGGGCUGGGCAUAGCCCUACGAGGCGCUCGGCGCGGCCUCCUCAGCAGCGCUUGGCGCAGCCCGGCGGCUCUUCCCAGAGAAGGCAGGCAUGGCUCCCCUGCACGGUCGCGAGCCCGGCUCCUAGUUCGGGUCACGCGCUCGGUGCGGAUGCUCGGCCACGGCCGCUGCUCGGAGCGGCAUAGCGGCCCGACGGCCUCAAGCCAGGCGCGCGGGCGCAAGGACGCGGUGGGCCGCGGCCGCAGUGGCUUGCUCGCGGCGGAUCCUGACGCGCUCCUCGGAGGAUCCUGGCGGUCCGGCUUCCUGGUGGGCGCGUAGGUGCGGCUCCCUGGGUGGCGCGGCCAGGAGCAUGUCCGGUUUCUCCUGGCGGUGGCCAAUACCACCUGGUGCACACGGC